rnacentral:rRNA from 1 species
CAUGUGGUUUAAUUCGAUGAUACGCGAGGAACCGUUACCUGGGCUCGAACGUAAGAUGACUGUAGGUGAAAGCUUACAUCUCUUCGGAGCAUUUUACGAGGUGCUGCAUGGUUGUCGUCAGCUCGUGCCGUGAGGUGUCGGUUAAGUCCCAUAACGAGCGCAACCCUACCUUUAGUUGCCAUCAGGUAAUGCUGGGGACUCUAAAGGAACUGCCUACGCAAGUAGUGAGGAAGCGGGGAUGACGUCAAAUCAGCACGGCCCUUACGUCCAGGGCUACACACGUGCUACAAUGGCCGAUACAGAGGGCAGCUACCUGGUGACAGGAUGCAAAUCUCCAAAGUCGGUCUCAGUUCGGAUCGGAGUCUGCAACCCGACUCCGUGAAGUUGGAUUCGCUAGUAAUCGCGCAUCAGCCAUGGCGCGGUGAAUACGUUCCCGGGCCUU